UGAGGUCGCUAAAGCCGUUCCCCAUAUCUCCUCUCCCAUUCUCAUAGCUCUAGGGUUCCAUGGCGAUUUCCGUGGCGGAGGUCGACCGCGACCGUUCCGCUCGUCGCCGGAGGGCGAAAGCGCGCUGGAGGAAGGCUCGCUCGACGACGAAGGGCGUGCCGCGCGGUAGUGCGGCGUGCUCUCCGUCGGGGAGCGAGGUUUCCGGUCAGGGACGAGGUCGAUUCGGUGGCGGAGGUUGACCACGACUGCUCUGCUCGUCGCGGGAGUGCGAGAGCGCGUGGGAGGAAGGCUCACCGCCGGCGAAGGGUGAGCCGCGCGGUAGAGUGGCGUGUUCUGCAUCGGGCAGCGAGGUUUCCGGUCGGACGGCGAGCUCUGCAGCAUGGACGGGGAAGAUCUAGUUGUGGGCGUCGUCUUGCUGCGAGGUGACAAGUUAUGCGAAGAAUUCUGACCAGGUCGACUUACAGAGCACAUUGUAAUAAAUAAGGAGAAUGACAGGCGUUCCCGACUGCAGUUAGUUCCUGACUGCAGUUAAGACAAGUUGCUGGAGCAGCAGCAGAAAGACUAUUGUUGUCCCAAUUGCAAAUUUGGCUCCAAAACAGGAGUUCUUCUUGGCGAGAGGGAUGGCGAGAGAGAGAGGGUUGUUGGGGCAGGGGGUGAAGUUGUACCGUGGGGUGGUAGAUGUAGACAUGGUCCACGUGUUGUUCUUUUGUCUAAACGUGCAUCCUUUUGUAAUGGGCUAUUAUUUCUUGUUCCAGAUCGGGUGCUGUGCCGGACAAACCAGCACCCGGAUGUUGGGUUUGCCAAA